CAACCAGGCGGCUGGGUUUCUUUUGGGUAAUCCAACAGAUCUUUUUAUUAUUAUUUUAGAUUUUUUUUUAAUACUUUUGUUCCAAUCUUUUCUGGUUUAUAUACCCAAGGUGUUGUUGUAAAUAAUAACUAAUCAUAAAUGGCCUAGUGGAGAGAGGGUAGUUUCAUAGUCUUUAGGGGAGUGGGUUUGAUACCUAUAUGUAGCAUUUUAUUUCUUUUAGCAUUCAUUU
rnacentral:lncRNA from 1 species